rnacentral:lncRNA from 1 species
AUGAUCUGUCACAGUUGCAAGAGCACCACCUCUCUCCUUCCCUCUCUUUCUCUCUGUCUUCCCUACUCACUACCUCUCACCCUCUCUUUCUCUCGGUCUUCCCUCUCUUUCUCUCCGUCUUCCCUCUCUUUCUCUCCGUCUUCCCUCUCUUUCUCUCCGUCUUCCCUCUCUUUCUCUCCGUCUUCCCUACUCACUACCUCUCACCCUCUUUCUCUCCGUCUUCCCUCUCUUUCUCUCCGUCUUCCCUCUCUUUCUCUCUGUCUUCCCUACUCACUACCUCUCACCCUCUCUUUCUCUCCGUCUUCCCUCUCUUUCUCUCCGUCUUCCCUCUCUUUCUCUCCGUCUUCCCUCUCUUUCUCUCUGUCUUCCCUACUCACUACCUCUCACCCGCUCUUUCUCUCCGUCUUCCCUCUCUUUCUCUCUGUCUUCCCUACUCACUACCUCUCACCCUCUCUUUCUCUCCGUCUUCCCUCUCUUUCUCUCCGUCUUCCCUCUCUUUCUCUCCGUCUUCCCUCUCUUUCUCUCCGUCUUCCCUACUCACUACCUCUCACCCUCUUUCUCUCCGUCUUCCCUCUCUUUCUCUCCGUCUUCCCUCUCUUUCUCUCUGUCUUCCCUACUCACUACCUCUCACCCUCUCUUUCUCUCCGUCUUCCCUCUCUUUCUCUCCGUCUUCCCUCUCUUUCUCUCCGUCUUCCCUCUCUUUCUCUCUGUCUUCCCUACUCACUACCUCUCACCCUCUCUUUCUCUCCGUCUUCCCUCUCUUUCUCUCCGUCUUCCCUCUCUUUCUCUCCGUCUUCCCUCUUUCUCUCCGUCUUCCCUCUGUCUCUCCGUCUUCCCUCUCUUUAUCUCCGUCUUCCCUCUGUCUCUCCGUCUUCCCUCUCUUUCUCUCCGUCUUCCCUCUGUCUCUCCGUCUUCCCUCUCUUUCUCUCCGUCUUCCCUCUCUUUCUCUCCGUCUUCCCUCUCUGUCUCUCUGUCUUCCCUCUUUCUCUCCGUCUUCCCUACUCACUACCUCUCACCCGCUCUUUCUCUCUGUCUUCCCUCUCUUUCUCUCCGUCUUCCCUCUCUUUCUCUCCGUCUUCCCUCUGUCUCUCCGUCUUCCCUCUGUCUCUCCGUCUUCCCUCUCUGUCUCUCCGUCUUCCCUCUUUCUCUCCGUCUUCCCUCUUUCUCUCCGUCUUCCCUCUUUCUCUCCGUCUUCCCUCUUUCUCUCCGUCUUCCCUCUCUGUCUCUCCGUCUUCCCUCUCUGUCUCUCCGUCUUCCCUCUCUGUCUCUCCGUCUUCCCUCUCUUUCUCUCUGUCUUCCCUCUCUUUCUCUCUGUCUUCCCUCUCUUUCUCUCCGUCUUCCCUCUCUUUCUCUCCGUCUUCCCUCUCUUUCUCUCUGUCUUCCCUCUCUUUCUCUCUGUCUUCCCUCUCUGUCUCUCCGUCUUCCCUACUCACUACCUCUCACCCGCUCUUUCUCUCUGUCUUCCCUCUCUUUCUCUCCGUCUUCCCUCUCUUUCUCUCUGUCUUCCCUCUCUUUCUCUCCGUCUUCCCUCUCUUUCUCUCCGUCUUCCCUCUCUUUCUCUCCGUCUUCCCUCUCUUUCUCUCCGUCUUCCCUCUCUUUCUCUCCGUCUUCCCUCUCUGUCUCUCCGUCUUCCCUCUCUUUCUCUCAGUCUUCCCUCUCUCUCUCCGUCUUCCCUCUCUUUCUCUCCGUCUUCCCUCUCUUUCUCUCUGUUUUCUCUCCGUCUUCCCUCUCUCUCUCUCUCCGUCUUCCCUCUCUUUCUCUCCGUCUUCCCUCUCUGUCUCUCCGUCUUCCCUCUCUGUCUCUCCGUCUUCCCUCUCUUUCUCUCCGUCUUCCCUCUCUUUCUCUCCGUCUUCCCUCUCUUUCUCUCCGUCUUCCCUCUCUUUCUCUCCGUCUUCCCUCUCUUUCUCUCCGUCUUCCCUCUCUUUCUCUCCGUUUUCUCUCCGUCUUCCCUCUCUCUCUCUCUCCGUCUUCCCUCUCUUUCUCUCCGUCUUCCCUCUCUGUCUCUCCGUCUUCCCUCUCUUUCUCUCCGUCUUCCCUCUCUUUCUCUCCGUCUUCCCUCUCUUUCUCUCCGUCUUCCCUCUCUUUCUCUCUGUCUUCCCUCUCUGUCUCUCUGUCUUCCCUCUCUGUCUCUCCGUCUUCCCUCUCUGUCUCUCCGUCUUCCCUCUCUGUCUCUCCGUCUUCCCUCUCUGUCUCUCCGUCUUCCCUACUCACUACCUCCCACUCUGA